CCUGAGAAUCUGCAGUUUACAUUGUGAACUCUUCAGUCCAGCAGAGAGCAGCUCCACUCCUGAAUCCUGCAGGUCAUUGUUACUGAGGUCCAGCUCUUUCAGGGAGGAGUUUUCCAGGUUUAAAACUGAUUCCAGAUUUUCACACGUCUUUACUCCAAGAUUACAUGAAGCUAGUC